AUUGAACGCUGGCGGCAGGCCUAACACAUGCAAGUCGAACGAGUGGCGGACGGGUGAGUAAUGUCUGGGAAACUGCCUGUUGGAGGGGGAUAACUACUGGAAACGGUAGCUAAUACCGCAUACCAUCGGAUGUGCCCAGAUGGGAUGAGCUAGUAGGUGGGGUAACGGCUCACCUAGGCGACGAUCCCUCGCUGGUCUGAGAGGAUGACCAGCCACACUGGCACGAAGACAAGGUCGAGACUCCGCCGAGAGUCAGCAGUGGGGAAUAUUGCACAAUGGGCGCAAGCCGGAUGCAGCCAUGCCGCGUGUAUGAAGAGGGCCAUCAGGUUGUAAAGUACUUUCAGCGGUGAGGCGUUACCCGCAGAAGAAGCACCGGCUAACUCCGUGCCAGCAGCCGCGGUAAUAC
rnacentral:rRNA from 1 species